AGGAAGGAUAGACUUUGUUGGAACACUUUGAGAAGUGGAAGAAAGUUGCCCAUUGAGUUGAUUAUCAGAACCUUGGAAAUGAUAUAAACCAUCUUCAAGUUUCCCUACCCCAAUCGUCUUCCAGGUGAAAAGAUCCUGAAUGAAGCAAAAGUGAUGUAAGAAUAACAACAAACAUCUAUGUUUGAUAACAAGAUUGCUGGCGGAAAUCAGAUUGAAGUUGAAGCUUGGCACAACUAAUACAUCAGUUAAGGUUAAUG
rnacentral:lncRNA from 1 species